rnacentral:rRNA from 1 species
UUAAGUAGAAAAGAGCGCACGGAGGAUGCCUUGGCACUAGGAGCCGAAGAAGGACGUGACAAACGACGAAACGCUACGGGGAGCUGUAAGUAAGCAAAGAUCCGUAGAUAUCCGAAUGGGGGAACCCACCGCUUUUAAAAGGGCGGUACGCGAAAGCGAGGUAACGCAGGGAACUGAAACAUCUAAGUACCUGUAGGAAGAGAAAGAAAAAUCGAUUUCCUAAGUAGCGGCGAGCGAAAGGGAAAGAGCCCAAACCAAUAUGCUUGCAUAUUGGGGUUGUAGGACUCUCAACAAAGCGUAUGACAAAGUAUAGUAGAACGAGCUGGAAAGUUAGACCGUAGAAGGUAAAAGUCCUGUAUACGAAAUGCUGAGUUGGCGUGAGAGAGCACCUGAGUACGGCGGAACACGAGGAAUUCCGUCGGAAUCUACCAGGACCAUCUGGUAAGGCUAAAUACUACCUAGUGACCGAUAGUGAACCAGUACCGUGAGGGAAAGGUGAAAAGAACCCCGGGAGGGGAGUGAAAGAGAACCUGAAACCGUGUGCUUACAAGUAGUCAGAGCCCUUUAGGGGGUGAUGGCGUGCCUUUUGUAGAAUGAACCGGCGAGUUACUUUAUCAUGCGAGGUUAAGUGGAAGACAUGGAGCCGAAGCGAAAGCGAGUCUUAAUAGGGCGAAAUAGUAUGAUGGAGUAGACCCGAAACCAAGUGAUCUACCCAUGGCCAGGUUGAAGUUUAGGUAACACUGAAUGGAGGACCGAACCAGGACACGUUGAAAAGUGUUUGGAUGAGCUGUGGGUAGCGGAGAAAUUCCAAUCGAACUUGGAAAUAGCUGGUUCUCUCCGAAAUAGCUUUAGGGCUAGCCUCGUUGUGAGUUUACUGGAGGUAGAGCACUGUUUGGACUAGGGGCCCAUCCCGGGUUACCGAAUUCAGACAAACUCCGAAUGCCAGAUAAAUAUCAACGGGAGUCAGACUGCGGGUGAUAAGGUUCGUAGUCGAAAGGGAAACAGCCCAGACCGCCAGCUAAGGUCCCAAAUUGUAUGUUAAGUGGAAAAGGAUGUGAUGAUGCACAGACAACCAGGAUGUUGGCUUAGAAGCAGCCACCAUUUAAAGAGUGCGUAAUAGCUCACUGGUCGAGUGACAUCGCGCCGAAAAUGUACCGGGGCUAAACAUACAACCGAAGCUGCGGAUAUAACUAAUGUUAUAUGGUAGGAGAGCGUUCUAACAUCAUAGAAGCCGAACUGGAAGGUGAGGUGGAGAGGUUAGAAGUGAGAAUGCCGGUGUGAGUAGCGAAAGAUAGGUGAGAAUCCUAUCCACCGAAAGACUAAGGUUUCCAGAGGAAGGCUCGUCCGCUCUGGGUAAGUCGGGACCUAAGGUGAAGCCGAUAGGUGAAGCCGAUGGACAACAGGUAGAAAUUCCUGUACCACCGAAUAUCGAUUGAGAGAAGUGGGGACAGAGGAGGCUAAUUGAUCGCCCUGAUGGAAUAGGGCGUCUAAGCACAAAGACUGACAAGUAGGCAAAUCCGCUUGUUGUAAAGGUUGAAGUGUGAUGGGGAGCGAAAUAUAGUAGCGAAGUCAAUGAAGCCAAACUCUCAAGAAAAGCCGCUAUCGAGAUAAGAGGUGCCCGUACCGCAAACCGACACAGGUAGUUGGGAAGAGAAUUCUAAGGUGAGCGAGAGAACCAUCGUUAAGGAACUCGGCAAAAUGACCCCGUAACUUCGGGAGAAGGGGUGCCUACGAGAGUAGGCCGCAGUGAAUAGGCCCAAGCGACUGUUUAUCAAAAACACAGGUCUCUGCAAAACCGAAAGGUGAAGUAUAGGGGCUGACGCCUGCCCGGUGCUGGAAGGUUAAGAGGAGUGCUUAGCGCAAGCGAAGGUAUGAAUUGAAGCCCCAGUAAACGGCGGCCGUAACUAUAACGGUCCUAAGGUAGCGAAAUUCCUUGUCGGGUAAGUUCCGACCCGCACGAAAGGCGUAACGAUUUGGGCACUGUCUCAACGAUGGACUCGGUGAAAUCAUAGUACCUGUGAAGAUGCAGGUUACCCGCGACAGGACGGAAAGACCCCAUGGAGCUUUACUGUAGCUUGAUAUUGAAUUUUGAUGCAGUAUGUACAGGAUAGGUAGGAGCCUAAGAAUCAUGCACGCCAGUGUAUGAGGAGGCGUUGUUGGGAUACUACCCUUGCUGUAUUGAAAUUCUAACCCUCGGCAUAGAAAACCGGGAGACAGUGUCAGGUGGGCAGUUUGACUGGGGCGGUCGCCUCCUAAAGAGUAACGGAGGCGUUCAAAGGU